CACGUAGGGCGCAAGCGUUGUCCGGAAUUAUUGGGCGUAAAGAGCUCGUAGGCGGACUGUCACGUCUGCUGUGAAAGGCUAGGGCUUAACCCUGGCCUUGCAGUGGAUACGGGCAGACUAGAGGUAGGUAGGGGAGAAUGGAAUUCCCGGUGUAGCGGUGAAAUGCGCAGAUAUCGGGAGGAACACCGGUGGCGAAGGCGGUUCUCUGGGCCUUACCUGACACUGAGGCACGAAAGCUAGGGGAGCAAACAGG
rnacentral:rRNA from 1 species